CUCUUUGGUCCCCGAGACCGCCAACUUCCUGGUCGUCUCGCUUCCGGCUCCUGUUGCCACCGGUGCGGGUAAUGUAGUAGUAGCUUCCUUGGUUACGUGUCAAAUUAUUGCUUUUACUCGCAAUUGACUACACGCUGUUUCACCUGAUUAUACCUACUCGUGUUGCGGGCCGGCGCGGAUGUUUCGGGAACUGCCGUCUUGUUUGGGUUUUCCGAUCGCUGCCGCUCGGGUGGAGAGCGCACCUCCUCCCCUUCAGCCCCAGCUUUCCGGAUGCAUCUGUUUAUUCUGCUAGUGUCCCUGGCACUGGUGCUGCUCCCCCAGCAGACUACAGCGAAGUAGAUGGCACUCGCGACCACAGACGAUCUCCAACGUUUUGUUGCACACAUUGAAGGAUCUGAGCUUCAUCAGGAAAUGGAGUCUGCUCAUCCCCUUCUUGUACGCAGCAUCAGUGUUGGUGCUCCAGUCCAGUCUGUCUGUAUAACAGCUAUGCCGGAGACUGAACAUGAUUUUGGCAGAGAGCCGUCAUCUCGGUCUGCGAGAGCAAUGGAUCUCACAUUGUUGUUAAAAUGUGCCUUAGAGCUCAACUGGAGGAACAGAGAUUAAAAACAUAUAUAAAAAGGAUAAAACUAUAUUUCUG